rnacentral:rRNA from 1 species
GACGAACGCUGGCGGCGUGCCUAACACAUGCAAGUCGAGCGGAGAUAGUAGCAAUACUAUCUUAGCGGCGGACGGGUGAGUAACGCGUGGAUAACCUGCCUUAUACAGGGGGAUAACACAGGGAAACUUGUGCUAAUACCGCAUAACAUAUUGAAGUGGCAUCACUUUAAUAUCAAAGGAGCAAUCCGGUAAAAGAUGGAUCCGCGUCCGAUUAGCUAGUUGGUGGGGUAAAGGCUCACCAAGGCGACGAUCGGUAGCCGGACUGAGAGGUCGAUCGGCCACAUUGGGACUGAGACACGGCCCAGACACCUACGGGUGGCUG